UUUGAAAAACACAGAGGGCAAUUCAGGGAACAGCGUGCCACUGUGUGUAACAGUAUCUGCCCACAGCUGCCAUAAAUCUUGAGAGGCUCUAGGAGGAUAAACAAACAGAUGAAAGACUCUGGACCCGGGUACACCUGGAUCUCACAGCUCAAGUUCAGUGGACAGAGCUAUUUCUAAGUGUCCUUAACCUAAG